rnacentral:tRNA from 1 species
ACCCAGCUGGCUCAGUCCACAGAGCCUAUGACUUUCGAUCUUGGGGUCAUGAGUUCAAGCCCCAUGUUGGGCA